GAAGGGAAGGGAAGGGAAGGGAAGGGAAGGGAAGGGAAGGGAAGGGAAGGGAAGGGAAGGGAAGGGAAGGGAAGGGAAGGGAAGGGAAGGGAUGUUAUCAGAGUUUCGAUGACAUGAGGUGAAGUAGGUUAUGUUAGUUGAGGUGAAGUGGGUAGUACUGCACUGAGGUGAGGUAAUGUUAGUUGAGGUGAUGUGGGUUGAACUGUGGUGAUGUGUGCUGAGGUUAGAUGAAGUGACAUGAGAUUAGUUAAAGUGAGGUGAUGUGAGGUGAGAUAAGGUGAGGUGAUGUAAAAUGAUGUGGGUUGAACUGCUGUGAGGUGAGUUUAGGUGAGGGGAGGUGUUAGGCAAGGUGAGAUGAGGUGACAUGAGAUGAGGUGAGGUGAGAUGAAAUAGUAUGAGCUGUGAAGUGAGGUAAGGUAAACUGAAAUGAGAUGAGAUGAGAUGAGAUGAGAUGAGAUGAGAUGAGAUGAGAUGUGUUAAGUGGAGAGGAGAGGCACAAAGUUGUGGGGAGGGAAUAGGAGUGGAGGUGAAGUGUGUUGAUCUGUGUUGAGGUGACAUCAGGUGUUGCCAGGUGAUAGGUAACGAGAUGAGGUGAGGUUAGGUGAGGAGAAGUAAGGUAAGGUAAGGUGAUGUGAGGUGAGAUUAGAAGAGGUGAGUGACGUGAGUUUAACUGAGGGGAGUUGAGGCGAGGAGAAUUGGGUUAAACUGCAGUUAGGUUAGGUUGAGGUGAGAUGAGGUGACGUCAGAUAAGGUGAGGUGAGUUGAGCUGAGGUGAGGUUAUGUGAAGUGCGGUGAUUAGAGGUGAGGUAAUAUUAGGUAAGGUGAGAUGAGUAGAAGUUAGGUAAUGUGAGAUGAGUUAGAAAGAGGUAAAUUGAGAUGAGCUGAACUUAUAUGAGGUGACGUGAUUACAGGUGAGGUGAUGUUAGGUAAGGUGAGAUGAGCUGAGGUAACCUGAGGCAAACUAAGGUGAUGUGAGAUGAAAAGAGAUGAGAUGACAUGAGCUGAGAGGAGGUGAAUUGAGAUGAGAUGAUGUGAAACUAUAUGAGGCAAGUGGAGGUGAGAAGAGAUGAAAUGAGACAGGCUGUGGUGAGGUGAGGAGAAGUGAGAUGAGGUGAGGUUAGGUGUAUUGAGAUGAGGUGAGGAGAUGUGAGUUGAGGUCAGAUGAGAUGAGAUAAUUUGUGGUGAGAUGAUGUGAAGUGAGGUGUGGUGUGGUGAGGUGAGCUGAGCUAAGGUGAGACGUGUAAAGAUGGUGAGGUGAGCAUUCUGGUGAGGUGAGGACAGAUGAAGUAAGGCGCUCACCUCAUCACAUCAUCUCAUCUCACCUCAGCGCACUUCAUCUUACAUAACCUCUUCACCUCACCUUACCUCAUUUUGCCUCACCUCAUGUCACCUCAAAUUACCUCACCUAACCUCAUCUCAAGUCACCUAACAUCACCUCAUCUCACCUUAACUAACAUCACCUCACCUUACCUUAACAAACAUCAACUCACCUUAUCUCACCUAAGCUGAACACACUUCAACUCACCUCACUUCACCUCAGCUCAGCUCAGCUCAGCUCAGCACACCACACCACACCACACAUAACAUUACCUAAUCUCAACAAUUCUCACCUCACCUCACCUUACCUCACGUCAUCUCAUCUCACCUCACCUCACCUCAUCUCAUCUCACUUCACCUCAUCUCCUCUCUUCUCCAGUAAUCGCCAAAUCUGACUUCUACAUAGGGCCUCAGAAUUAGAUUUCUUCCCUGUUUGGAAGGACCCUCCAUAUCACUUUGGGGGAACUAGUGCUAGAAUUAAUUAAUUAUGGAAGUCACAUGGAAUUCACUGGUUUGGGGAAACAAAAUCCGAGUUGGAUAUUAGAAGGAUCAAGAGAAAUGGGAAGCUAAUACACUGUGACUUUGCUCCCUGUGGAGGAUGACAUGACCUCCCAGUAGUAAAAGAUACACACUUUGAGCCCAAGGCAUCACCUUGAGAAGUCAUGGAUGGAUUACCCACUUCCAACCUGGGAAGUUUGGUGAAAGGCUUUUCUUUGCCGCGUGGAUUAUUGUUUGCAUUGUUACCUGUUCUUGUUCUUUACACGGGAAAAAAUGGUGCAGGACAAGUAUAUAUUCACACACUGUGGAUGUAAAAUCCUGUCUCAUUUAAUUGAGAGUUUGGCUAACAUAAGUUGGUAAACCUGCUUUGUUCUUACCUUGUGUAUCUUGUAGACAGUUGCAAAAGCCUUUAGGAUUAUAUUAUAUGUAUAAUUUUGUAUACUGUAACAGUGAAGGAUGUUUUUGGAGGCCUACCUCCUUGUCCUCCUUGGCAGGAAAAAAGGAAAUGAGUCUCCAAACCCUGCAUGGGACUUAAUACAAGGACUUAAGUGAGAUGGAACUAUCGUAACCAAGGGGCAUGCACAGCUCUUCCUUCAUCAGCUGGUGAGGGAAUUAAGAUGGUCUUAAUAACAAAUUAUGGAAUCUGACCUGAAAUGCAACAGUUCUGAAUGAAUAUGGAAUAUAUAAUGGCAGCAUUGUAGCUGUGAAAAGUGGAAUUGAAGCACACCUCUGUUUGGAAUAUCCUUGGAGUUUAAAUGGUGAAUUUAUUGAAAACUCAAGACCCCUUUCAAUGUGAGUAUAGUUAUAAAUGGGAUAUCAAAUGGCAUAUUCGAAUUCCUGAUGCACAUGCUGGCCACAAAGUCUGAAGGGGAAACAGAUCUCAUGAAUGGGCUUGGUCACUUAAAAAGCUCUGGAUAAAACAGAAAAUAAACCCAUUAAAAUACACAUGACUGACAUCACCAGAUAGUCCCCUAUUCAAUUGUACAAAAAUUAUUAUUACUUGUACCCAUGGCCCUGGGGACCCCCUUGAGACAUGGCUUUUUUUUGGAACUCAAUCCAAGAGCUGCGUACAUGUGGGUGAUACCCCUCCAAAUGAUUCAAAACUCAGGUCUGUCAGUCUACAGAACCCACAGAUGACUUCACUAAUGUGAGUAUAUGCAGAAUACUUAUCACUCAUGCUCUGGAAAACAGGUUUCCUUUAGGAAGUAAUUUAAAGGUCCUGUCAUUCUUUUGUCCAAUAAAAAGCUCAGAUUCAUUACCCUGUGUUUCAAUGACCCAAUAGGUUCACUAGGUCGAGAUAUUAUUUAUUUUAGAAUGGUGCAAGUCUGAGUACCAGGUGUUUUCCCACAGAGCUGAUACAACAAAGGAUUUUCCAUUCAACUCUGUAUGCAAUUCCUUAUCAAUAUAUUUACAUGCUUGUA